UACGUAGGGCGCAAGCGUUAUCCGGAAUUAUUGGGCGUAAAGAGCUCGUAGGCGGCUUGUUGCGUCGGCUGUGAAAACCCGCGGCUUAACCGCGGGCCUGCAGCCGAUACGGGCAGGCUAGAGUUCGGUAGGGGAGACUGGAAUUCCUGGUGUAGCGGUGAAAUGCGCAGAUAUCAGGAGGAACACCGGUGGCGAAGGCGGGCCUUCUGGGACCGAUGACUGACGCUGAGGACGA
rnacentral:rRNA from 1 species